GCAGUGGGGAAUAUUGCACAAUGGGCGCAAGCCUGAUGCAGCCAUGCCGCGUGUAUGAAGAAGGCCUUCGGGUUGUAAAGUACUUUCAGCAGUGAGGAAGGUGGGUAUGUUAAUAGCAUACUCAUUUGACGUUAGCUGCAGAAGAAGCACCGGCUAACUCCGUGCCAGCAGCCGCGGUAAUACGGAGGGUGCGAGCGUUAAUCGGAAUUACUGGGCGUAAAGCGCAUGCAGGUGGUUUGUUAAGUCAGAUGUGAAAGCCCGGGGCUCAACCUCGGAAUUGCAUUUGAAACUGGACAAACUAGAGUACUGUAGAGGGGGUAGAAUUUCAGGUGUAGCGGUGAAAUGCGUAGAGAUCUGAAGGAAUACCGGUGGCGAAGGCGGCCCCCUGGACAGAUACUGACACUCAGAUGCGAAAGCGUGGGGAGCAAACAGGAUUAGAUACCCUGGUAG
rnacentral:rRNA from 1 species